CCUACGGGUGGCAGCAGUGAGGAAUAUUGGUCAAUGGACGAGAGUCUGAACCAGCCAAGUAGCGUGAAGGAUGACUGCCCUAUGGGUUGUAAACUUCUUUUAUAUGGGAAUAAAAUGUUCCACGUGUGGGAUUUUGUAUGUACCAUAUGAAUAAGGAUCGGCUAACUCCGUGCCAGCAGCCGCGGUAAUACGGAGGAUCCGAGCGUUAUCCGGAUUUAUUGGGUUUAAAGGGAGCGUAGGUGGAUUGUUAAGUCAGUUGUGAAAGUUUGCGGCUCAACCGUAAAAUUGCAGUUGAAACUGGCAGUCUUGAGUAGAGUAGAGGUGGGCGGAAUGCGUGGUGUAGCGGUGAAAUGCUGAGAUAUCACGAAGAACUCCGAGUGCGAAGGCAGUUCACUGGACUGCAACUGACACUGAGGCUCGAAAGUGUGGGUAUCAAACAGGAUUAGAUACCCUGGUAGUC
rnacentral:rRNA from 1 species